CUUGUACUCCUUCCGUUCCAUAUCAAGUGACUUUUUAUUACAUGUAUCUAGACUUUUUUAGAUAUAUAUACAUCCGUAUUUGGGCAAAUUUGAGUCACUUAAUAUGGGACGGAGGGGGUAUAAA
rnacentral:pre_miRNA from 1 species